rnacentral:tRNA from 1 species
AGCGGCUAAGUGUAAAGGUAGCACAAUAGUCUCAUGCACUAUUAGGCGGGUUCGAUUCCUGAACCGCUA